rfam:Corynebacterium sp. NML 130206 Clow_contig000002, whole genome shotgun sequence.
CCAGGCGGAGUACGUGGAGGACUCUGCCCGGGUGCCCUCGGUGUUCUGGUGUACUUCCCCGACAUCAGAACCCACGAGAACCCGGGCAGGGCCCUGCACAUACUGCGCUACAUGUU